rnacentral:rRNA from 1 species
CUUGCCUACGGGAGGCAGCAGUAGGGAGUAUUGCUCAAUGGGGGAAACCCUGAAGCAGCAACGCCGCGUGAGUGAAGAAGGCCUUCGGGUUGUAAAACUCUGUCCUUAUCGAAGAGAGGUGGGUAUGUGAAUAAUGUACUCAUAGGACGGUAGAUAAGGAGGAAGCCCCGGCUAACUACGUGCCAGCAGCCGCGGUAAUACGUAGGGGGCGAGCGUUGUCCGGAAUCACUGGGCGUAAAGGGCGCGUAGGCGGUUUAAUAAGUCAGUGGUGAAAACUGAGGGCUCAACCCUCAGCCUGCCACUGA